GAAAUAUUAAAACCUGACAUUACCACAAGUUUACAUCAAUUUUUACUUUUUCAAAAGACUUGGGGUAAUAGUUUUGCUUCAUUCCUGUGUCCUAUCAUUGGCAUUGAGGUAUAUUCUAACUUAAAAGUCAGCAAUUUUUAUCAAUUAUCCUACAUUCUAUUUGCAGAACGCAUUGUGUACAGCCUUCCCUGUAUAUUAAAUGGUGUCUUCCAAAGAGCUCCAUAAAUCUUUUGUGAAAAAGAUGACAUAACAUGAAAAAGAUGAGGAAAACUGAGAUGCAAAUUUUAGUUAAAUGUUAACAUUUUUGUGUUAUUGAUAAAAACCAUUUAACUGUGUGUUGCUGUUUUUGGCUUUAAAAUAGUGUAACUACCUAAUGUAAGCAAAUUGUGGAAUAUAGAAAAUAUAUUUUACAUGUGCGUUUCAGUCUCACAAAGUUUUUUUCCAGCUAGUUUUUCCCUUGAAGAACAGAAGAUCCAAAGAGGAAAAACUUUCUGGCCCUGGUUUAGAAUGUGAAAUAGGGUUAACUUAAGGACAAAUCAACUGUUGCUUAAAGUCUCCAAGUACUACCAAGAACAGCACUUCCAAGAAAGUGCCUGAGCACUCUUCAAAGUCCAAGUGCUGAAUCCAAGUAUAUUAAAUUUUCAAGAAAGGAGUUUGUGUAUGCAUAGAGUACCACAACAUCUGUGCUUCUCGCCCGAAGUGCCACCUCAUUAACCACCUAGUUCUGGGAGUUGAUGUGACUCUGCAUUGGUGACACCCUGCAGAGCACAGAAAACAAGGAUGGAUGCACCCACUUCCAGGACUGUCCUUGGGAUGUCAAGGUGUAGUCUGAAGAAAAAAAGAGAUUAGUAGAAGACAUAAAGAAUUAAUGGCAGAAAUUACCCAAGCCCGGAGAAAGAAGUACACAUCAAUCCCCAGUGCCCAGAAUGCUGCAGGAUCUCAGGAAACAGGACCUAUUGACAGUGAGGAUGUCGCUGAGAUAGAGUAGCAUCCUCUUCACUCUAGAGUAAAUAGGUUCAUUUGAUUUAUCAGCCAGUCUUGAGACACCUCACAAGUUUUACAGAAGAUCUCAUACAGAUGUCUAAUUAAGGCUAUUAACAGAAGCCAUGAAAUUUUGCAACUUGAAAGAAUGAUGAACAUUUAAGU